GAUGAACGCUGGCGGCGUGCCUAAUACAUGCAAGUCGAGCGAACGGACGAGAAGCUUGCUUCUCAGAUGUUAGCGGCGGACGGGGGAGUACCACGUGGAUAACCUACCUAUAAGACUGGGAUAACUUCGGAAAACCGUAGCUAAUACCGGCUAAUAUUUUGAACCGUAUGGUUCAAAAGUGAAAGACGGUCUUGCUGUCACUUAUAGAUGCAUCCGCGCUGCAUUGGCUAGUUGGUAAGGUAACGGCUUACCAAGGCAACGAUGCAUAGCCGACCUGAGAGUGUGAACGGCCACACUGGAACUGAGAAGCGGUCCAGACUCCUAGAGAAGGCAGCAGUAGCGACUCGUGCGCGAUGGGCGAAAGCCUGACCGAGCGGCGCCGCGUGGGUGAUGAGGGUCUUCGGGUCGUAAGACUCUGUUAUUGUGGAAGAACAUAUGUGUAAGGAACUGUGCGCAUCUUGACGGUACCUAAUCAGAAAGCCACGGCUAACUACGUG
rnacentral:rRNA from 1 species